GAGUUUGAUCUUGGCUCAGGAUGAACGCUGGCGGCGUGCUUAACACAUGCAAGUCGAACGAAGCACUCAGGAGCGAUUUCGGUCAAUCCUGUUUGACUGAGUGGCGGACGGGUGAGUAACGCGUGAGUAACCUACCUCGCAGUGGGGAAUAACAGUUGGAAACGACUGCUAAUACCGCAUAAUGCAGAGAGACCGCAUGAUCUUUCUGCCAAAAGAUUUAUCGCUGUGAGAUGGACUCGCGUCUGAUUAGCUAGUUGGUGAGGUAACGGCUCACCAAGGCGACGAUCAGUAGCCGGACUGAGAGGUUGACCGGCCACAUUGGGACUGAGACACGGCCCAGACUCCUACGGGAGCAGCAGUGGGAAUAUGGGCAAUGGCGCAAGCCUGACCCAGCAACG
rnacentral:rRNA from 1 species